rnacentral:tRNA from 1 species
GGGGAUAUAGCUCAGUGGUAGUGUGCUUGCCUAAAAUGCAUGAAGCCCUGGGUUCCAUCCCCAGUACCG